rnacentral:ncRNA from 21 species
AUGAACAUAGCAGGAGAGAUUUUUCCCAUGGCAGUACGGAUGGGGAAGGCACCGAAGAAGUAAAUCUUUCAGGUCAAAGGACUGCUAUGGGACG